AAUGCAUUUGUCUCAUUAACCACCGGCCAUGUUUGCGCAGCGCACGAUUUUUUUUUCUUUUUUUUUUUUGGUAAUGGGCAGCUGCAGGAGGUUGAGGUUGAGGGGCACAGAACCCUGAUGUUGCUGGGGACAUGCAUGCGGCACUAGCACGACGAAGCCAGAAAAAGAUUAAGAAGGGAGUGAACAAAAGUACUAUAUUAACUUAGCUCUAUU
rnacentral:lncRNA from 1 species